rnacentral:rRNA from 1 species
UACGGAGGGGGUUAGCGUUGUUCGGAAUCACUGGGCGUAAAGCGCACGUAGGCGGAAUGUUAAGUCAGAGGUGAAACCCCGGGGCUCAACCCCGGAACUGCCUUUGAUACUGGCAUUCUUGAGGUCGGGAGAGGUGAGUGGAAUUCCGAGUGUAGAGGUGAAAUUCGUAGAUAUUCGGAGGAACACCAGUGGCGAAGGCGGCUCACUGGCCCGAUACUGACGCUGAGGUGCGAAAGCGUGGGGAGCAAACAGG